rnacentral:rRNA from 1 species
GACGAACGCUGGCGGCGUGCUUAACACAUGCAAGUCGAACGGAAAGGCCCUGCUUUUGUGGGUUGCUCGAGUGGCGAACGGGUGAGUAACACGUGAGUAACCUGCCCUUGACUUUGGGAUAACUUCAGGAAACUGGGGCUAAUACCGGAUAUGAGCUCCUGCUGCAUGGUGUGGGUUGGAAAGUUUCGGCGGUUGGGGAUGGACUCGCGGCUUAUCAGCUUGUUGGUGGGGUAGUGGCUUACCAAGGCUUUGACGGGUAGCCGGCCUGAGAGGGUGACCGGCCACAUUGGGACUGAGAUACGGCCCAGACUCCUACGGGAGGCAGCAGUGGGGAAUAUUGCACAAUGGGCGGAAGCCUGAUGCAGCAACGCCGCGUGCGGGAUGACGGCCUUCGGGUUGUAAACCGCUUUCGCCUGUGACGAAGCGUGAGUGACGGUAAUGGGUAAAGAAGCACCGGCUAACUACGUG